rnacentral:rRNA from 1 species
UACGGAAUGUGCAAACGUUAUUCGGAAUCACUGGGCUUAAAGAGUCCGUAGGCGGCUUGUUAGGUGAGGUGUGAAAUCCCUCGGCCCAACCGAGGAAUUGCGCUUCAAACCGGCAAGCUAGAGGAGGAUAGAGGUGGGCGGAACUGAUGGUGGAGCGGUGAAAUGCGUUGAUAUCAUCAGGAACACCGGAGGCGAAGGCGGUCCACUGGGUCCUUUCUGACGCUGAGGGACGAAAGCUAGGGGGAGCGAACGGGG